UACAGAGGUCUCAAGCGUUGUUUGGAUUCAUUGGGCGUAAAGGGUGCGUAGGCGGCGCGGUAAGUCGGGUGUGAAAUCUCGGAGCUUAACUUCGAAACUGCAUUCGAUACUGCCGUGCUUGAGGACUGGAGAGGAGACUGGAAUUUACGGUGUAGCGGUGAAAUGCGUAGAUAUCGUAAGGAAGACCAGUGGCGAAGGCGGGUCUCUGGACAGUUCCUGACGCUGAGGCACGAAGGCCAGGGGAGCAAACGGG
rnacentral:rRNA from 1 species